rnacentral:misc_RNA from 1 species
GAUGAAGAACGUAGCGAAAUGCGAUAAGUAAUGUGAAUUGCAGAAUUCAGUGAAUCAUUGAGUCUUUGAACGCACAUUGCGCCCCCUGGUAUUCCGGGGGGCAUGCCUGUCCGAGCGUCAUUGCUGCCCUCAAGCACGGCUUGUGUGUUGGGCCUCCGUCCUCCUCCCGGGGGACGGGCCCGAAAGGCAGCGGCGGCACCGCGUCCGGUCCUCGAGCGUAUGGGGCUUCGUCACCCGCUCUUGUAGGCCCGGCCGGCGCUUGCCGACACAUCAAUCUUUUUUCCAGGUUGACCUCGGAUCAGGUAGGGAUACCCGCUGAACUUAAGCAUAUCAAUAAGCGGAGGA